GAUGAACGCUGGCGGCGUGCCUAACACAUGCAAGUCGAGCGAACAGACAAGAAGCUUGUUCCUCUGCCGUUAGCGGCGGACGGGCGAGUAAGACGUAGAUAACCUACUUAUAAGACUGGGAUAAUUUCGGGAAAACGGAGCCAAUAAUGCCUAAUAUAUUCAACCGCAUGGAUCAAUAGUGCAUGACGGCUUUGCCGUCACUUAUAGAUGGUUCCGCGCCGCAUUAGCUAGUUGGUAAGGUAACGGCUUACCAAGGCAACGAUGCGUAGCCGACCUGAGAGGAUGAUCGGCCACACUGGAACUGAGACACGGUCCAGACUCCUACGGGAGGCAGCAGUAGGGAAUAUUCGGCAAUGGGCGCAAGCCUGACCGAGCCACACCGCGUGGGUGAUGAAGGUCUUCGGGUCGUAAAGCUCUUUUGUUGGGGAAGAACAGAUGUGUAAGUAACUAUGCACGUCUUGACGGUACCUAAUCAGAAAGCCACGGCUAACUUCGUG
rnacentral:rRNA from 1 species